GGCUGAAAUUCGCCCUCCAUGAAGCUGGAAUUGCUAGUAAUGGCAGGUCAGCAUACUGCCGUGAAUACGUUCCCGGGCCUUGUACACACCGCCCGUCACACCAUGAGAGUUGGGAAUACCCGAAGCCUGUGAGCUAACUUAUAGAGGCAGCAGUCGAAGGUAGAAUCAAUGAUUGGGGUGAAGUCGUAACAAGGUAUC
rnacentral:rRNA from 1 species